rfam:Sphaerobolus stellatus SS14 unplaced genomic scaffold SPHSTscaffold_148, whole genome shotgun sequence.
GGUUGUAUGGGGUAGUGGUUAGCCCAUGAGAUUCUGAACAAUUGUUCCCGAUUCAUAGCGACAGGUAACAAGUUCAAUAUUCUCAUGACCCCGGUUCGAAUCCGGGUACGACCU